AUGGCGGUCGAACGACCCAUCGCUCUCGUCCCUCGCCACCUGCAACCCCGCCUUCUUCGCCUCCAUUUGGCGCGCAUUCGGGCCUUGGUCGCCGAAGAUGGGCAGCAUGACGAGAGGGUGACCGAACAGGAGCCCUUCGAUCAGCGAGUUCCGGCCGCAGUGCGUCAGGAACCCGCCCACGGCCGCGUGCGCCAGGAUGCUCAUCUGAGGAACCCACCCCGUGGUCACCAGCCCCUGGCCGCGAGUGCGCUCUUGGAAAUCCGGAGGAAGCAUGUCGGCGCCGUCGUCCAGGACGGCGGCUCCACUGGGCUUCCGGAGAGCCCAGAGGAAGCGUGUCCCGGCGAGCUCCAGCCCGAGGGCUAG
rnacentral:rRNA from 1 species